rnacentral:rRNA from 1 species
AUGCAAGUCGAGCGGGGGAAGGUAGCUUGCUACUGGACCUAGCGGCGGACGGGUGAGUAAUGCUUAGGAAUCUGCCUAUUAGUGGGGGACAACAUCUCGAAAGGGAUGCUAAUACCGCAUACGUCCUACGGGAGAAAGCAGGGGAUCUUCGGACCUUGCGCUAAUAGAUGAGCCUAAGUCGGAUUAGCUAGUUGGUGGGGUAAAGGCCUACCAAGGCGACGAUCUGUAGCGGGUCUGAGAGGAUGAUCCGC